GACGAACCGUGCGAACGUUGUUCGGAAUCACUGGGCUUAAAGGGCGUGCAGGCGGUCUGUUAAGUCUAGGGUGAAAGCUCCCGGCUCAACUGGGAGAGGUCCUUGGAUACUGGCGGACUUGAGGGAGGUAGAGGAAAGUGGAAUUCCCGGUGUAGUGGUGAUAUGCGUAGAUAUCGGGAGGAACACCAGUGGCGAAGGCGGCUUUCUGGGCCUUACCUGACGCUGAGACGCGAAAGCGUGGGGAGCGAACGGG
rnacentral:rRNA from 1 species